rnacentral:rRNA from 1 species
UCCUACGGGAGGCAGCAGUGGGGAAUAUUGCACAAUGGGGGAAACCCUGAUGCAGCCAUGCCGCGUGUGUGAAGAAGGCCUUCGGGUUGUAAAGCACUUUCAGUUGUGAGGAAAAGUUAGUAGUUAAUACCUGCUAGCCGUGACGUUAACAACAGAAGAAGCACCGGCUAACUCCGUGCCAGCAGCCGCGGUAAUACGGAGGGUGCGAGCGUUAAUCGGAAUUACUGGGCGUAAAGCGCACGCAGGCGGUUUGUUAAGCUAGAUGUGAAAGCCCCGGGCUCAACCUGGGAUGGUCAUUUAGAACUGGCAGACUAGAGUCUUGGAGAGGGGAGUGGAAUUCCAGGUGUAGCGGUGAAAUGCGUAGAUAUCUGGAGGAACAUCAGUGGCGAAGGCGACUCCCUGGCCAAAGACUGACGCUCAUGUGCGAAAGUGUGGGUAGCGAACAGGAUUAGAUACCAUGGUAGUCCACACCGUAAACGCUGUCUACUAGCUGUGUGUGUCUUUAAGACGUGCGUAGCGAAGCUAACGCGCUAAGUAGACCGCCUGGGGAGUACGGCCGCAAGGUUAAAACUCAAAUGAAUUGACGG